CAAGCACAAAAUAAAAAUCAGCUGUUGUCCAUGUAAUCCACGUGAUCAUUAAGGAAAGGUUGCUUUCUUCACUUCUACCUCGGAUGAAUCGAGAGCAUUGAAGACCGUGAUAGAAAUGACUGUGACGUUAUGAAAUGCAAGUUUACUCUAGCAUCCCAAGGCUGCAGAGCCCAGGGAAGACAGACCUGGCUCACCAGCCACACUGUGUGGUCCCAUGAACCUCGGCAGCAGACACGAACAAUGAAAAAUCACUUGGUGUCUCUUGAGGAGAAUGUCCUUUGGAAAUGGAGAGAAAGGAGAGAGCCAAGAACUGAAAGUCGCCCUUUCGACCCCUCACUGCCGACUGAUUUCGUCCCAGGACCUGAGAUAGGACCUUAGCCACCACCAAAGGGCGGCAUUACAACUCUCACCUUAGCUAGCUCAGCUGUGAAACUGGGACACACCUCUGUCAAAUUUUAAUUAAAG